rnacentral:rRNA from 1 species
AGAGUUUGAUCAUGGCUCAGAUUGAACGCUGGCGGCAGGCUUAACACAUGCAAGUCGAGCGGAGAUGAGGUGCUUGCACCUUAUCUUAGCGGCGGCCGGGUGAGUAAUGCUUAGGAAUCUGCCUAUUAGUGGGGGACAACAUUCCGAAAGGAGUGCUAAUACCGCAUACGUCCUACGGGAGAAAGCAGGGGAUCUUCGGACCUUGCGCUAAUAGAUGAGCCUAAGUCGGAUUAGCUAGUUGGUGGGGUAAAGGCCUACCAAGGCGACGAUCUGUAGCGGGUCUGAGAGGAUGAUCCGCCACACUGGGACUGAGACACGGCCCAGACUCCUACGGGAGGCAGCAGUGGGGAAUAUUGGACAAUGGGGGGAACCCUGAUCCAGCCAUGCCGCGUGUGUGAAGAAGGCCUUAUGGUUGUAAAGCACUUUAAGCGAGGAGGAGGCUACUGAGACUAAUACUCUUGGAUAGUGGACGUUACUCGCAGAAUAAGCACCGGCUAACUCUGUGCCAGCAGCCGCGGUAAUACAGAGGGUGCGAGCGUUAAUCGGAUUUACUGGGCGUAAAGCGUGCGUAGGCGGCUUUUUAAGUCGGAUGUGAAAUCCCCGAGCUUAAC